rnacentral:rRNA from 1 species
AGAAUGAACGUUGGCGGCGUGGAUUAGGCAUGCAAGUCGGGGGAAUCCCGCAAGGGGGAACCGGCGUAAGGGGCAGUAAGGCAUGGGUACCUACCUUUGGGUUCGGGAUAGCCAUCAGAGAUGGUGGGUAAUACCGGAUGACGUCGUGAGACCAAAGAUUUAUCGCCCGUUGAGGGGCCCAUGUGAUAUUAGCUUGUUGGUGGGGUAACGGCUCACCAAGGCGAAGAUGUCUAGCGGGUGUGAGAGCACGACCCGCGCCACUCGCACUGAGACACUGGCGAGACACCUACGGGUGGCUGCAGUCGAGGAUCUUCGGCAAUGGGCGCAAGCCUGACCGAGCGACGCCGCGUGUGCGAUGAAGGCCUUCGGGUUGUAAAGCACUUUAGUGGGGGAGAAAAGCCGAAAGGUGUGAUCUAUCCCAAAAAUAAGCACGGCUAAGUUCGCGCCAGCAGCCGC